UGAGGACAGCAGAGGAAGGUGGAAUUCCCGGUGUAGUGGUGAAAUGCGUAGAUAUCGGGAGGAACACCCGUGGCGAAGGCGGCUUUCUGGGCUGUUCCUGACGCUGAAGGCGAAAGCUAGGGGAGCGAACGGGAUUAGAUACCCCGGUAGUCCUAGCUGUAAACGAUGGAUGCUGGGUGUGGGGGGUGUAAAUUCCCUCUGUGCCGAAGCAAACGCGUUAAGCAUCCCGCCUGGGGACUACGGCCGCAAGGCUAAAACUCAAACGAAUUGACGGGGGCCCGCACAAGCAGCGGAGCGUGUGGUUUAAUUCGAUGCUACACGAAGAACCUUACCUGGGUUUGACAUGCACGUGGUAGGGAACCGAAAGGGGACCGACCUUCGGGAGCGUGCACAGGUGCUGCAUGGCUGUCGUCAGCUCGUGCCGUGAGGUGUCGGGUUAAGUCCCGUAACGAGCGCAACCCUUGCCCUUAGUUACAAGUGUCUAAGGGGACUGCCCGGGACAACUGGGAGGAAGGUGGGGAUGACGUCAAGUCAGCAUGGCCUUUAUAUCCAGGGCUACACACACGCUACAAUGGCCGGUACAAUAGGUUGCGAAGUCGUGAGGCGGAGCCAAUCCUCAAAGCCGGUCUCAGUUCGAAUUGCAGUCUGCAACUCGACUGCAUGAAGCUGGAGUUGCUAGUAAUCGCAGGUCUGCUAUACUGCGGUGAAUACGUUCCCGGGCCUUGUACA
rnacentral:rRNA from 1 species